ACUUAAAAAGUUGUUUGGUAACUAAAAAGUAUAAAACAUCUGACUUUUAAAUUUAAAAAUAUUAAUUUUAAAUUUAAAAAUAUCUCAAAUUAACUUUUCAAAAAUCUAUUAAAAUUUGGAAUAGAUGGAGAACAAUAUUUAUAGAAACUCCAUAAAUUUAAAAUUUGAAGAAAAUAAAUAUAACACUCACCCUUAACCCACACAUAAAGAGAAAAAAUGAACUUCUAUAUAUAGAUGCAUACAUAUACAUAUCUAUAAUCUAUAUAGACACACGCACACAAGGGAAUAGAGAAGGCAUCAAGCUGCAGAAACUAAAAGGGUAUUUUUGACAACAUUGCUUGAUCUGAUCCGGCUAAACUCUUCUUACUUGUAAAUAUAUGGCCCAAAUUAUUAAUUAACCUGCAAAUAUAUUCGAUAGUAUUCUAAUAAAUUUCCUUCUAUGUACAAUAUAUACACAUACAUAUGUAGAGAGAGAACUCUAUAUGUAAAGCAAACCUAACUCAAGUAAGGAAUCAUCAAGUGUGUGCUAUAGCUCAAAUUCAAAGCAAUAAAAAUUGGAAUCAAAUCAAUAAAAUCGUAGAGAAAAAGCAAGGAUCUUUACUCACAUCGAUCCACUUUGAUACAAUCCUGAUCAAGCUGUCAUCAAACGAUAAUAACCCAAUUCAAGUCUCAGUGGUAUCAAAUAAUUUUAAAUAAUUGGGUUGAAGAUUAUUCAAAGGAGUACAAUUCAAGCAUUAUUGGGCCGAUCAAAUUGACCCAUUCAAUUCAGUCCAUGCACAGAUUUUAUGUGGAGCAUAGUGGGACAAAUAUUAUGGGACAUCAUAUCACCAAACAUGGAGCAAUGGUUAUAUUUAAUCAUGUGGGCCGCACCCUUUUCAAGUUAUCAGACUUAAGCAAUUCAAGUGGGCUUUUCAAACAAUAAUAUUCAUGAAGCAAUUUAAGGUUCAGUACAUGAUCUGAUUCACGUGGCCUUUUUACCAGCUUAGUCACGCGUCACAGAAUUUCUUUUACAUGGCAAUUGAGAGAUUUUUAGAUUUUAUAAUUCUAUUGUAAUUAGGAUUCCUUUUUAAUUAGAAUUUCUUUUCCAAAUUGACUUCUAUUAGGGUUAUAGUUUAUAAAUUCCUAUUAGGAUUUGGAUUGUUUUGAGUAGUAUAAAUAGAUGUUCAAGUUAUGUAAUCAAACACAUUAUUCAUUAUUAUUAUUCAAUAUAUUUGUGAGUUAUUCUCUACUUUUGGUUCUUUAAAGAAUUCAUAAGUAUUUUCUUAGUUAUUUUUUUGAGAUUCAAUUUGACUUAUCAUACAACAAUUCAUAGUUGUGUGUGGCGUCUUCUACCGCAUCAAUCGUCGAUUGUACCGAGAUUACCGCUUCAAUAUAAGCAACAGGUCAAGGUGUCGUUGGUAUCCAUUCAACGCAGAUUUCCGAACGCGAGCAGUUGUACCGAGAUUACCGCUUCAAUAUAAGCGAGGGGUCAAGGUGUCGUUGGUGUCCAUUCAACGCAGAUUUCCGAACGCGAGCAGUUGUACCAAGAUUACCGUCUACAUAUAGACGAGGGGUUAAGGUGUUGCAAGUAAUUCACCCAACAGCUGUGCUAGAAACGAUCCGGGCGACGACCACCUCACGCAAGCGUGUCGUGGAGUCUAUCAUUUGGUAUCAAAGCUAAACCUUUCUAGCAAGUUACUUAUCUUUAAUUUUCUAUCGAAAUAUAUAUUCUGAAAAAAAAGUAAAAAAAAAACGAAAGAAAAAAAGAAAUCAGAUUUUAUUUUCAUUGUGCUAACCAAACUUGUAGCACAUCAUCAAAUCAUCAAAUUCCAACCAAGAGUUCAUACCGUUCCAUCAUCAUCAAUUCUGAAACGGAGCUAUAAUUUACAAAUCUGAGGCAUACAAGAGUACAAGGUAAUCGAUCGGUGAUUUUGUGGUAUUCUGAUAGUCACACCAUCUAUAUUUUUAUUAUGUGAUAAGUAAUUUUUGAAUUGAUUAGUAAAACCAAUAAUUUUACUAGGGGAAUUCAAAAGGAACCUAUUAGAGAGAAUAUUGAGGUAAAAGGCUUAGUGGUGAGAUUAAUCGAGGGUAAAAGUCAAUUUAUUGAGAGUAUACACGAGUGAACCAUUGAUUCGAGCGAAAACACGUAAGGGAGUGUGUGAGGAAAAUUUUUAUCUACUAACCUUUGUUUUGCAGCAAAGAUGUAUAGCUACAGUUAUGAAAGUUCUUAUGGGUCUCGAAGGAAUACUUUCCAAGGCAAUAUUGAUACAGAGGCAUAUCUGAGAUGGGAGAGAAAAAUGGAGCAAGAAUUUAACUGUCCUGAUCAAGCUGUCAUCAAACGAUAAUAACCCAAUUCAAGUCUCAGUGGUUCAUCAAAUAAUUUUAAAUAAUUGGGUUGAAGAUUAUUCAAAGGAGUACAAUUCAAGCAUUAUUGGGCCGAUCCAAUUGACCCAUUCAAUUCAGUCCAUGCACAGAUUUUAUGUGGAGCAUAGUGGGACAAAUAUUAUGGGACACCAUAUCACCAAACAUGGGGCAAUGGUUAUAUUUAAUCAUGUGGGCCGCAUCCUUUUCAAAUUAUCAGACUUAAGCAAUUCAAGUGGGCUUUUCAAACAAUAAUAUUCAUGAAGCAAUUUAAGGUUCAGUACAUGAUCUGAUUCACGUGGCCUUUUUACCGGCUUAGUCACGCGUCACAGAAUUUCUUUUACAUGGCAAUUGAGAGAUUUUUAGAUUUUAUAAUUCUAUUUUAAUUAGGAUUUCUUUUUAAUUAGAAUUCCUUUUCCAAAUUGACUUCUAUUAGGGUUAUAGUUUAUAAAUUCCUAUUAGGAUUUGGAUUGUUUUGAGUAGUAUAAAUAGAUGUUCUAGUUAUGUAAUCAAACACAUUAUUCAUUAUUAUUAUUCAAUAUAUUUGUGAGUUAUUCUCUACUUUUGGUUCUUUGAAGAAUUCCUAAAUAUUUUCUUAGUUAUUUCUUUGAGAUUCAAUUUGACUUAUCAUACAACAAUUCAUAGUUGUGUGUGGCGUCUUCUACCGCAUCAAUCGUCGAUUGUACCGAGAUUACCACUUCAAUAUAAGCGAGGGGUCAAGGUGUCGUUGGUGUCCAUUCAACGCAGAUUUCCGAACGCGAGCAGUUGUACCGAGAUUACCGCUUCAAUAUAAGCGAGGGGUCAACGUGUUGUUGGUGUCCAUUCAACGCAGAUUUCCGAACGCGAGCAGUUGUACCAAGAUUACCGUCUACAUAUAGACGAGGGGUUAAGGUGUUGCAAGCAAUUCACCCAACAACUGUGCUAGAAACGAUCCGGCGACGACCACCUCACGCAAGCGUGCCGUGGAGUCUAUCACACUUAUAUAAGAAAGCAAUCAAUCAAAUCAAUACAAUAUUCACACCCACAGGCCACAAUACAAUAAACUCACAGAAGCAAACACUGAAUCACAAUACUAAAAUUAGCGCACGAGGAAGGUGAAAAUAAGUUGAAAUUUGACUAAGAAAGUACUAAUUUCAUAUAUAUGUUAGUAAAAAUAAUAUAACUUCUUUAAUUCCAGUGAGAUCGAGAUCUCCGGAACAAUGAACGAGGAGACGAUGAUAAAAAAUAAUUGGAGUUAUAUUUUACCUGAAGAGGAAAGAAAGAUUUCGUUCAGAAAGUUCGGAAUUAUUCCUUGGAAUCACAGGCUAAUCCUCUGUACAGAAAGUAAGUAGUUUGUUUAGUGUUCUCUCCGACGGUGAGGAAAAGCCCCAAAACAGAGCUGAAGAAUAAGCCCCAGAACAGACCGGAGCCGGUGGCCGGUGGGAGAGGAUCGGAGCGGUGGCUGGUGGGACUUGGGAGGAUCGGAGAAUUCUAUCUGGGAUUGAAGGGAAAGACUGAAGUCUGAACUCUCAAAGUCUGAAAGUAAUAAAAUUAAUAAAUAACUGGUAUGACCGGUUCAGUACCCCUUCCAGAUGCCGGUACGGAUUAUCCGGUGUAUACUGAUUUUCUACCGAUUCCGAACUGGUAUUCUUUUGUCCCGAACCGGCCGGUUCCAACCUGUUCGAUUUAGUAAAAACCUAAAAAAACAAAAACUUUAUCCACCCCAACUCCCCCAAGUGUUCUCUGUGGCCUGUGGGGAAAUUCAUGGUGGACGUGGAGUAUUUGGGCGCGACGUGUGGCGUGACGUUUAUGUAUACAGA
rnacentral:lncRNA from 1 species